CACUCAAGCACCGCUUGGUAUUGGGCCUCGUCCGCCUCACGGCGGGCGUGCCUGAAAGACCUCGGCGGGGCCUCACACCGGCUUCGGGCGUAGUAGAUCUCAUCGAACACGUCAGUCACACGGGAGGGGUCGCCAGCCGUCAAAACAACCACACAUCACAGGUUGACCUCGGAUCAGGUAGGGAUACCCGCUGAACUUAA
rnacentral:misc_RNA from 1 species